CAAGCCGUCCGUGGAAUUUGAGCCGACCGGCUUGCGGCCACGUUAAUCCCCGCUAAAAGGUCGGAGAGCUUGAAAA
rnacentral:ncRNA from 2 species